rnacentral:rRNA from 1 species
GACGAACGCUGGCGGCGUGCUUAACACAUGCAAGUCGAACGGAAAGGCCCUGCUUUUGUGGGGUGCUCGAGUGGCGAACGGGUGAGUAACACGUGAGUAACCUGCCCUUGACUUUGGGAUAACUUCAGGAAACUGGGGCUAAUACCGGAUAGGAGCUCCUGCUGCAUGGUGGGGGUUGGAAAGUUUCGGCGGUUGGGGAUGGACUCGCGGCUUAUCAGCUUGUUGGGGGGGUAGUGGCUUACCAAGGCUUUGACGGGUAGCCGGCCUGAGAGGGUGACCGGCCACAUUGGGACUGAGAUACGGCCCAGACUCCUACGGGAGGCAGCAGUGGGGAAUAUUGCACAAUGGGCGGAAGCCUGAUGCAGCAACGCCGCGUGCGGGAUGACGGCCUUCGUGUUGUAAACCGCUUUCGCCUGUGACGAAGCGUGAGUGACGGUAAUGGGUAAAGAAGCACCGGCUAACUACGUG